ensembl:lncRNA
UGAGACACCGAGGGCCAUGUCCUUUGAUUUCUUCUGACACAGUGGGCAGAAAGCCUUGCGAAUUUGCCAGCAGCUCUAUCCAGUCAUUUUUAUUUAGAGAACACCUUGAGCUACCAAAACUGUUUGUGUACCUGAAACCUGCCUGAUGUCUCAUUUCACAUUUGCAAUGCAGAUGGGGCUACAAUUUUGGACACUCGUCUUGCUUAAGGCAGCAGCCCGCUCCUCCAUGGCUCAGCUUGGCGUCCCCAGGACCCUGGCAGCGCGGAUGCCCUCUUCCUCCAAGGAGCAGGGAGCAAGGAGGGGCAGCCACCAACCCCUACAUACUUCCCCCUCUUCCCAAGCAGCUGAUGGGGGACUGCUGCCAGCCUUCCCAUUAGAAGUUACAGAAAAGGAAUUCUUGGAUUCUCCCUCACACACUGCUCCGCAGCAGAAGAUGGAACAAGAGGACAAAAGAGACUCUUCAAACACAGGGGCAGGAUGAGAGUGGUCCUGCAGAGGAUCAGCAACCAUCCAGCCAGGCAAUGGAGCCUGGAACUGGUGGGGUGCUGGGGAACAAGCAGCAGUCCUGAUGGCCUGAGGGCCCCUGAACACUGCCUGCCUGCGCUGCCAAGGCUGUGACACAGAGCACAUAGCACAGCCAUCUUACGGCCUGCUUCCCCAGUGAGGGAGAGAGCAGGAGGGAGACGGAUCUAAGCUGAUGGGAAAAGGAAGCAGAAAGAAGUGGCAAGAAUGAGCUAUUCCUGGGUUUCUUAAGAGCCAUUUGAUUAUGCAUUUAACUGUGUGUCCAUAAACAUUAUUUUACAAGAGCUUUUAGGAUGCGAAAUCUUUAUGCAUGAAAUGGGAACAGCUACAAGGAAAUGUUGAUAGUUCAAUAUGUCAGCCAAUACAUUGACUUCUAUGGGCCAUAACCUGAGCUACUUCAAAGCCUUCACUGUCUUGACUGGUGCCACAGAGGAAUUCUCUACGUGUGUGUGUACCCAGUAAUAGGGAAAAAAAUAAAUAAAUAAAAAGAGAGAGCACUCCAUAUUCUAUGUAUAUUUUGCCCAUGCACCCUGCACUUGGUUACUGUUCAGACAAGAAGCAGAAACAAGCAAAUGAUUUCUGCUGAAAGACAUGUUCUGCAAGCUAAAAUACUGUGUCCUGCUCUUAAAUUCCCUUGAGCUUGAGUACACAUACAACAGUUACUCUCUGUACCAAAAAACGUGGUGGCAUGAAACUUAAUGCAUGUGUGCUUUCUGGUCUUCCGACACAUCUUACAGUCUUCUGGUUGUGUUUUGUGUUUCUACCCGUAUUUGAAGGACUAUACAAACUCUUUCUACUACAGGCAGCAGCUUGAGGAUUAACAUUUGGAAUACUGCCUUGCAAGAAAACUAUGACAUACAGGAACCUAACAGUAUGUCAGACAAGAGGCAUAGCUCACAAGAUUACAUUGUGCUUAUAAGUUUUACAGUGAAGAAAAAUCUGAAGAAUUUCAGACAGGUUCAAAGAUCUUCCUUUCAUAUAUUACCCUAACUUUAGCUCUUCAGGCCACUCCUGUAAUGUCUUCAGGAUAAUCUUGGAUUUUUCUCCAGUCUCUGUCUCCUCAUGAUCCCCAGAAGUUCCUCUGAACACUGCCAUCCACUAUCAGCUGCUCCCAGUUUAAUGUCACCUUAACAUUAAGGAGGUCAGGAUUUAUUUCCCCCACCACGAUACUUAACACUCAGAAGUCACCUAUGCUUAUGCCAAUUGCCAACAAAGUACUGCUUUGCUGUUGUUUUCAUAUCUGCC